rnacentral:rRNA from 1 species
AAAUAGAUACCCGGGUAGUCCACGCCGUAAAACGAUGAGUGCUAAGUGUUAGAGGGUUUCCGCCCUUUAGUGCUGCAGCUAACGCAUUAAGCACUCCGCCUGGGGAGUACGGUCGCAAGACUGAAACUCAAAGGAAUUGACGGGGGCCCGCACAAGCGGUGGAGCAUGUGGUUUAAUUCGAAGCAACGCGAAGAACCUUACCAGGUCUUGACAUCCCACUGACCGGUAUAGAGAUAUACCUUUCCCUUCGGGGUACAGUGGUGACAGGUGGUGCAUGGUUGUCGUCAGCUCGUGCCGUGAGAUGUUGGGUUAAGUCCCGCAACGAGCGCAACCCUUGAUCUUAGUUGCCAGCAUUUAAGUUGGGCACUCUAAGGUGACUGCCGGUGACAAACCGGAGGAAGGUGGGGAUGACGUCAAAUCAUCAUGCCCCUUAUGACCUGGGCUACACACGUGCUACAAUGGAUGGUACAAAGGGCUGCAAGACUGCGAAGUCAAGCCAAUCCCAUAAAAACCAUUCUCAGUUCGGAUUGCAGG